rnacentral:lncRNA from 1 species
GCGGAUGGGGUACAUUCCUCACUCUUAGAGGCAGGUGAUUCUUCACAUGUCUUCGAGCCCGACCAAUCGGAUUUAUCACAAGAUGAAGAAGAUAACUUGAGCAAGAGUCUUUUGCCUCCGUACGUCUUUCCAAAGCUUGAAGAUGGUGAUUACUCUGACCCGCCAGCAAGUUUUGAAGAUCAUGCCUUUUGGUGCUGGUCAUACUAAGUUGCACUUGGUAUAUAACAUGGUUUCUGUGUCUUUCUUCUUGUUUACAGCUUGUUAAUCAUUAAGCAAUAAUCCCAAUCCAAAU